UAGGGAAUUUUUCACAAUGAGCGAAAGCUUGAUGGAGCAAUGCCGCGUGAACGAUGAAGGUCUUUAAGAUUGUAAAGUUCUUUUAUUUGGGAAGAAUGACUUUAGCAGGUAAUGGCUAGAGUUUGACUGUACCAUUUUGAAUAAGUGACGACUAACUAUGUGCCAGCAGUCGCGGUAAUACAUAGGUCGCAAGCGUUAUCCGGAUUUAUUGGGCGUAAAGCAAGCGCAGGCGGAUUGAAAAGUCUGAUGUUAAAGGCAGCUGCUUAACAGUUGUAUGCAUUGGAAACUAUUAAUCUAGAGUGUGGUAGGGAGUUUUGGAAUUUCAUGUGGAGCGGUGAAAUGCGUAGAUAUAUGAAGGAACACCAGUGGCGAAGGCGAAAACUUAGGCCAUUACUGACGCUUAGGCUUGAAAGUGUGGGGAGCAAAUAGGAUUAGAUACCCUAGUAGUCCACACCGUAAACGAUAGAUACUAGCUGUCGGGGCGAUCCCCUCGGUAGUGAAGUUAACACAUUAAGUAUCUCGCCUGGGUAGUACAUUCGCAAGAAUG
rnacentral:rRNA from 1 species